UGGCCGCGGGAUUCGACUAAGCCAUGCGAGUCAAGGUGUCUUCGGACGCCGGCAUACGGCUCAGUAACACGUAGGUAACCUACCCUCAGGACUGAGAUAACCCCGGGAAACUGGGGCUAAUAUUAGAUAGAUAAAAGAUACUGGAAUGUUCUUUUAUCCAAAGCUUUUGCGCCUGAGGAUGGGCCUGCGUCCGAUUAGGUCGUUGGUGGGGUAAUGGCCCACCAAGCCUGCGAUCGGUACGGGCAGUGGAAGCUGAAGCCCGGAGUUGGGGACUGAGACAAGGCCCCAGGCCCUACGGGGCGCAGCAGGCGCGAAACCUCUGCAAUGCGGGAAACCGUGACAGGGGGAUCCCAAGUGCUCAUGCAUUGCAUGGGCUGUUCUUUGGUCUAAGUAACCAGAGGAGUAAGGGCUGGGCAAGACCGGUGCCAGCCGCCGCGGUAAUACCGGCAGCUCAAGUGGUAGCCGCGAUUAUUGGGCCUAAAACGUUCGUAGCCGGAUAAGUAAGUCUUUGGUUAAAUCCUGCGACUCAACCGUGGGAAUUCUAGAGAUACUGCUCGUCUUGAGACCGGGAGAGGUUGGAGGUACUCCUAGGGUAGGGGUGAAAUCCUGUAAUCCUAGGGGGACCACCUGUGGCGAAGGCGUCCAACUGGAACGGGUCUGACGGUGAGGGACGAAACCUAGGGGAGCGAGCCGGAUUAGAUACCCGGGUAGUCCUAGGCGUAAAUGAUGCGAGUUAAGUGUGGGGGCAUCUACGAGAUGGCCCUGUGCUGUAGGGUAGCCGUUAAACUCGCUGCCUGGGGAGUACGGUCGCAAGGCUGAAACUUAAAGGAAUUGGCGGGGGAGCAAAUCACUAGUGCGGCCGCCU
rnacentral:rRNA from 1 species